CUUAUUAUUGAAAACCUGAUGAAGUAUGGAUGGUUGAUCAGAUCUGGAUUUUGGUUUAGUUCGAGAUCAUUGAGAGAUUGGCCUCUUUUUAUGUGCUGUCUUACUCUCCCAAUAUUCCCACUUGCGGCCUUUGUAGUUGAAAAGUUGUUGCAGAAGAAUCAUAUAUCGAAACGUG